GAAUUACUGGGCGUAAAGCGCGCGUAGGCGGUUUGGUAAGUCUGAUGUGAAAGCCCGGGGCUCAACCUGGGAACUGCAUUCGAUACUGCUAAUCUAAAGUGUGGUAGAGGGAAUUGGAAUUCCCGGUGUAGCGGUGAAAUGCGUAGAUAUCUGGAGGAACACCGAUGGCGAAGGCGGCUCUCUGGGCCGUUACUGACGCUGAAGUGCGAAAGCGUGGGGAGCAAACAGGAUUAAAUACCCUGGUAGUCCACGCCCUAAACCAUGAGCACUAGACGUUGGGGACUUUCUACCCUUUUCGGUGGCUCAGCUAACGCAUUAAGUGCCCCCCCUGGGGAGUACGGCCGCAAGACUAAAACUCAAAUGAAUUGACGG
rnacentral:rRNA from 1 species